rnacentral:rRNA from 1 species
GAUGAACGCUGGCGGCGUGCCUAAUACAUGCAAGUCGAGCGGUAAGGCCCCUUCGGGGGUACACGAGCGGCGGACGGCUGAGUAACACGUAGGAACGUACCCCAAAGUGAGGGAUAAGCACCAGAAAUGGUGUCUAAUACCGCAUGUGCUCUAAGGAGUAAAGCUUCGGCACUUUGGGAACGGCCUGCGCAUGAUUAGCUUGUUGGUGAGGUAAUGGCUCACCAAGGCGACGAUCAUUAGCUGGUCUGAGAGGAUGACCAGCCAGACUGGGACUGAGAACGGCCCAGACUCCUACGGGAGGCAGCAGUAGGGAAUUUUCCACAAUGGGCGAAAGCCUGAUGGAGCAACGCCGCGUGCAGGAUGAAUGCCUUCGGGUUGUAAACUGCUUUUAUAUGUGACGAAUAUGACGGUAGCAUAUGAAUAAGGAUCGGCUAACUCCGUGCCAGCAGCCGCGGUAA